UUACUUACACGGUUAAAGGGAAGUUGGGAUAGUGUCUCUCUCACUUGGGUUUACCUCAGGGUUCGGGAAGGCCUCCUAUCCUUAAAUUCUAGAGCAAAGUGUGGGUAC
rnacentral:sRNA from 1 species